AUACAUAGGCCUAGGGCUGAGGUAAUAAGAGGAAUCAACAACAAAGUUGUGUUCUUGAUCAUUAUUAGAUACAGAGGCAUAAUUGUAGGGAGUAGAAAUAGAUAAUUUUUCAGAACUAUGAGAAAUUGAAUCUAGUGAACUGGUUUUAGCUCCAAGAUUUGAGGCUGUGAGAAUGGAUUUCACAAGAACUGGAAAUUCCUUUCACCCAAAUUUUUUUUCUAAUUGGAACUAAAGCCUCUGAAGCUGCAGAUAUGAGAUAGAAAGGGAAAGGGAGCAGGGAGGUCCAUUUUGUCCAACAGUACAUAGUCUUCAAUCGUCUCUCUUUUGCUGCUUACUCUUGUUCAGUACUAUUUGUUUUUGCCUUGAAUGAAAUCCAGUUUUCUGAUACCAAUGGAACUUUCAUACAACUCUUAGUGAGGUGUUAAUGGAUUAGUAGCUUUUGUUGGGGAGCUCCAGCAUGGAAUAUUGUUGAUUUUGAUAGUAGCUGUUGUCUGUAGUUAAAUCUGACAGCUUCCUUAUAUCAGAUGAAUUCUGCUUCUUACUCUUGGCAUAUUGUUGAUUUUGAACAGUUUUACUGUUGUCUGUAGUUAAUCUGACAGCUUCCUUAUAUCUAGAAGAAUUCUGCUUCUUAUAGUAUCAUUAUUUUGUUUGAA